UGUAUUUACGUUCAACAAGAAGGAGACGAGAGUUUUUGGUUGACUGAUUUUUAAUUUCGAUUUUUCAAAAAACUCGAUAUAAUUUUCUUCUCAAUACAAGCAAAUUAAUAAAUCUUAAAAAUAUGGUUUUCGUAGUGAUUAAGUUUUUCAACUUAAGAUUUAAAAGUAAACAAAAAAUUUAAAUUUUAUUUGAAAACUUACAAAUGACUAUAAAUUGCAUUAUUUUGUAAUCUGACGUUUCACCAUCAUGCAAAUUACUGUGUGUCGAUAAUGAUGGGGGUGUACUCUAUACGUUAAAGAUUUUGAUGCUUGAAUUACAUUCGUGUGGAAAAUAAAUUUUACUGGGACUGAAAACUUUCAAUUUGUUUAAUUAUAAGAUUUUGUUGAGAUAAAUAAAAUAAUAAAUUUUAGGAUA